rnacentral:rRNA from 1 species
GACGAACGCUGGCGGCGUGCCUAAUACAUGCAAGUCGAACGCAUUUUCUUUCACCGUAGCUUGCUACACCGAAAGAAAAUGAGUGGCGAACGGGUGAGUAACACGUGGGUAACCUGCCCAUCAGCGGGGGAUAACACUUGGAAACAGGUGCUAAUACCGCAUAAUUCCAUUUACUGCAUGGUAGAUGGAUGAAAGGCGCUUUUGCGUCACUGAUGGAUGGACCCGCGGUGCAUUAGCUAGUUGGUGGGGUAACGGCCUACCAAGGCUGCGAUGCAUAGCCGACCUGAGAGGGUGAUCGGCCACACUGGGACUGAGACACGGCCCAGACUCCUACGGGAGGCAGCAGUAGGGAAUCUUCGGCAAUGGACGCAAGUCUGACCGAGCAACGCCGCGUGAGUGAAGAAGGUUUUCGGAUCGUAAAACUCUGUUGUUAGAAAAGAACAGGGAUGAGAGUGGAAAGUUCAUCCCUUGACGGUAUCUAACCAGAAAGCCACGGCUAACUACGUG